CCGAGUUCAUGCCCUUACGGGUAGAUCUCCCACCCUUUGUAUACUAUACCUUUGUUGCUUUGGCGGGCCGCCUAGCUACUGGCUUCGGCUGGUAUGUGCCCGCCAGAGGACCCAAAACCCUGAAUUAUUAGUGUCGUCUGAGUAAAAUAUUUAAUAUUUAAAACUUUCAACAACGGAUCUCUUGGCUCUGGCAUCGAUGAAGAACGCAGCGAAAUGCGAUAAGUAAUGUGAAUUGCAGAAUUCAGUGAAUCAUCGAAUCUUUGAACGCACAUUGCGCCCCUUGGUAUUCCGAGGGGCAUGCCUAUUCGAGCGUCAUUAUCACCCCUCAAGCCUAGCUUGGUGUUGAGGACCUGCUGUCAAGGCAGCCUCUAAAAUCAGUGGCAGUGCUGUCAGGCUCUAAGCGUAGUAAAUCUAAUCGCUAUAGACACCUGGUGGCCACUCGCCAAACCCCCCCAUUUUUUAAUG
rnacentral:misc_RNA from 1 species